rnacentral:sRNA from 1 species
AAAAAAAAAGAAUGAGUUAUGGCCACAAAUAGGAAGCCAGGGCACCAGACAAGGAAACUACCGUGCAGUCAUCAGCAAGUCAAGAAAUCCUAGAAACCUGUAACUGACCAGAGACCAGAGGGCAUUUUAGAGAACAAGAUUCUGUUUAAUUUGCUUCUUUGAACAUGAGCACAAUUCACAUUCAUUCAAGUGAGUUCUGCUAUCUCAUCUGCUGUGGUCUGACUACAUAGAGUCCAAAGGUCAGUUGUCUGUGCUGUGAUGGUUUCAAAAGGUACUGUUUAAGUAGUUAAGUCAUUAGAGUCCCUCCCCAACCCACAUGAGGGGGUGCAACCUUACAACAGAAGCUUCAUGAAGCUUUUCGCCAGCUUGCCUUCCUGACUUUCACUACAUGAGCACGCAGCCUUCUAGCUGUGAAGAGUUCAGAAACAAAGCCUCAUCUCAGAAGUCUACAGCAGUCCUCGCCAGUCACAGACUCUCUAAUCUCCAGAGCUGCAAGAAAUACACUUGUUUGUUAUAAACUGCCCCGCCUCAGGUAUUUACACAAACACAUUGACCCGUGUUUACCGACGGUCUGAGCAAUACGAUGGAGACCUAUGCUGGGUCAGUGAGUGGUCCCGCUUCCGAUGAGUCCUCAGUACUUCAAGGCAGAUUAAUAUACAAACAGAGACUUGAGCCUUUUACUCUCACAUCCUCCAGGGAAAGCAAGGAAGUCGUGAAUGGCUGCAUUUCUUCAAAAGUCCGUCAUCUCAUCUCAGUUACCUGGAGGAACCAUCCAGUAUUCCUGACAGCUGUAUCUGGGUCCAAACCCAGGACAAGCUGGAGUCAGGUCUGUGAGGCUCAGCUACCGUCCCCAUGGGAUGGAUGCACGUGUCGCUGGGAUCCCCAUCCGUAGGCUAGACCUUACAGUUGCCCCACCUCUGCCCCAAAGGGAACUCAACUGUGCCGUCUGGAAACCGCACAGCCAGGUAUACCGGGAGUCAGCCCCACUUUCCCUAAUCUGUAGCUGUCUGAAGGUGCCACAGGUGGGUACGGUAGGGGAGUCACCUUCAAAGUCUUCCUCCACUCCGAAUAACCCCUCUGGGCAAACAUCUCUAUUACUCAUUGACAGACCCAAGGGAAAGCAGUGGUUCCUGUAUUUCCACCCGCAGCCCCUUUCUGCUUCAGGAAACAGAUGCGAGAUGUGACUGGGUCCCAGUCCUCGAGCUUCAGAUAGUAUAAGCAGCAUUUUAACGCAGCAAGAAAGCCGACCAGAGCCGCCUCUGCCCGGAAUAAGAACAGGCCGGUUCUUAGUCUUGGCACGACAGAGAUGGAUCAUUCUCUCUCUCUCUCUCUCUCUCUCUCUCUCUCUCUCUCUCGUGUGUGUGUGUGUGUGUGUGUGUGUGUGUGUGUGUGUGUGUGUGUAGCAUUGUCCCUGACCUCACCACCCAUUGGAUACCAUCAGGAACCCAGACCUGUGAUAACCAGAACCCUAGCUACCUAGCUACCACCAAGCGUCCUGUGGGGGAAGGCAGGCAAACUUGUCCUGGCUGAGAGCCACGGAAAGGUGCCAGACUGGUGGCAGUUCUGCUGCCCCUGAGGGCCAGCUCUUCUCUUCCCCGUGCAUGUUCUUAACCAACCUAUGGAAAAGGCCCUCUGCUGCAGACAGAUUAGUAAGUGGGGCCCAAGAGUUUGACAAUCAGGAAACUUGGUGUGCACCCAGUGCCCUGAAUUCUGUGAGAAUUAAGGUGUGCGUCUGAUACAACUUCACACUAAACUCAGAGAGGCAGCCUCAUUACUGUGGCGGGGCUGUGUGAUUUCAUGAGUUGUGCCACAGAGGCAGCUCCUUUGGGUCUGGAGGACGCCCUACGUCUCAGCACACUCCUUUUGGAGCCAAUCCCUGUUUACUUAGCGUAUAAGGUAGCCCCUGGCUGCCAAGAAUCCCUAGGCUAAUAGCUGACCUGGUUGGCGGAUGGUGAAGUCAUUUUUCUCGCACUCGUUCUAUGGAAGAGGCUGCAACAUCUCCCUCUUUCUUUUGGUUCUCUCCAGUCCUGGAAAAGCCUCCCUCAGAGUUGAGUGCCAGUGAGCCGGCACGGACCUUGACCAUGGUCUCUGACAAGAAAGGAUGAUACCGAGGGAGUGAACAUUUGAGACCACUGCUUUAUUUCACUCUGGUUCAACAACAGAGUCUUUCCUCUCAGGCAGGUCUGGAACCGUCCAUCCAUUCUCCUCCUUCUUAAUAAAAAAGGUAAUGAAGAAAAAGCCUGUAAUUUUGGAGACCUAGAAUCUUACUGAUGCGAAUCUAAGCUUUUGACUGCGAUUUCGGGUUACGGUUAUUUCCUGCUGGCAUCUCGGUGGUCACACAGAGAGCUCCCCACUCCAGCGGAGGUGGCCGCCCACAGCUACCACCGAUGAAAACAAAAGUGUUGAAAAAUGCACCUUUUACAAUAAAAAAGUAGAAACCAAUUCAAUUUCCUUUUUUUUUUUUACGAAUAUAAAGUUUCUUGUAAAUAUGUACAGUCUGAGCUAGCUCUAUGUAGCAGGAAGCACUUCACAGAUGAGACACGCAAUAUACACUGUCAGGGCUCAAGGUGCCCAUUUCUCGUGGAGGUCCUAAAUGAGAUGCCAAGACUGGAGACCAGCUAUCAGUGACCAUUCCAAAUACUUGUGGACCAAGAGACAAAAACUUCAGCAAACAGCCAGUCAGAUCUGCCCUGGGAGGGGGACCAGGAUAGGGAACAUGACCCCAAAGACUCCAAGCAACACAUAAAACACAACAGCAGGGCACGGGAUGUGGAGGGUCACAGGCGUUCAGAGGAGAAAGCACUUAGGUUAGAGACGAGCAGGAAGGAGUCGGCAUUUAGACCAGGUUAUAAUCUGGGAAGUGACGUGGACUGUGGACGCGUGGGCUUAAAACACAGACACGGUCACCUGCUGCGGUGGGGACAGGUCUACCUUUCAGCCUACCUAGGGUGUGCCUUGGUUGUGGAGGCACGCCUAAGAGUCGAGGAGAAGCCAAAGCAAGAGAGGCCUUCCUUGUGGGAGAUUAAAGGCAAAGAUAAGGCCGCGAGUCAGCUUGCCAACUGCAAAGCCUCUAUGUUGGUUCUAUCCAGUUGCCAGGAAUUCUGCGCUCUAAAGAGGGCGAAGAGACCGGGUGAGCCGCACUGCACCUAGGGGGAACUCACCAGCCCAGGAGGAGCUGGGAGCGUUGAGCUGCGGCUUCUCUCCAAUGUCCUGGCCUUAGGUCCAGCCCUAGGGAGAGGCUCAUCUAGGAAGUCACAGUUUCGUGGGGUAGAACCGUGCUGGGUUUUGUGUGAGCACACAGUCAUCCUUGAAGUCAGCAGGGAGAAGGAAGGCGGGAGGGAAACCGAGGGAGGAGUGUGGUUUGCUGAAAUCCUUCUCUGGUCGUAAGGCUUGAGCGUUUGUUUUGUUUUGUUUUUGUUUGCUUGUUCAGUGCUACAGAUUGCAGCCUGUUGUGGCCGGUUUGUCGACAAG